GACGUAGGGCGCGAGCGUUGUCCGGAUUUAUUGGGCGUAAAGAGCUCGUAGGCGGCUUGUCGCGUCGACUGUGAAAUCCCGCGGCUCAACCGCGGGUCUGCAGUCGAUACGGGCAGGCUAGAGUUCGGUAGGGGAGGCUGGAAUUCCUGGUGUAGCGGUGAAAUGCGCAGAUAUCAGGAGGAACACCGAUGGCGAAGGCAGGUCUCUGGGCCGAUACUGACGCUGAGGAGCGAAAGCGUGGGGAGCGAACAGG
rnacentral:rRNA from 1 species